rnacentral:tRNA from 1 species
AUUUAUAUAGUUUAUAAAAAACAAUACAUUUUCAUUGUAAAAAAAAGAAAAAUUUCUUUAUAAAUU